UACGUAGGUGGCAAGCGUUGUCCGGAAUUAUUGGGCGUAAAGCGCGCGCAGGCGGCCUCUUAAGUCUGAUGUGAAAGCCCCCCGGCUCAACCGGGGGAGGGCCAUUGGAAACUGGGGAGGCUUGAGUAUAGGAGAGAAGAGUGGAAUUCCACGUGUAGCGGUGAAAUGCGUAGAGAUGUGGAGGAACACCAGUGGCGAAGGCGACUCUUUGGCCUAUAACUGACGCUGAGGCGCGAAAGCGUGGGGAGCAAACAGGAUUAGAUACCC
rnacentral:rRNA from 1 species